rnacentral:rRNA from 1 species
GACGAACGCUGGCGGCGUGCUUAACACAUGCAAGUCGAGCGGCGCGGCGAAAGGGUGAGUAACGAGUGAAUAACUGCCCCCCUCUCUGGGAUAACAGUUGGAAACGGCUGCUAAUACCGGAUAGUGGGGGAUGGCUCGCGUCCUAUCAGCUUGUUGGUGGGGUAGUGGCCUACCAAGGCGACGCCGGGUAGCCGGCCUGAGAGGUCGACCGGCCACAUGGGGCUGAGAUACGGCCCAAACUCCUACGGGAGGCAGCAGUGGGUAAUAUUGCGCAAUGGGGUAAACCCUGAUGCAGCAACGCGCGUGCGGGAGGACGGCCUUCGGGUUGUAAACCGCUUUCAGCCAUGACGCGGUAGUGGCAGAAGAAGCACCGGCUAACUACGUGCCAGCAGCCGCGGUAAUAC